GUGCUCAUUCUGCACUUCGAAUGAGGUGACGAAAGUCGAGUCGAAUGUGUCACCCGAUUCCCAUAGUCGAAUGCGGUGAGAAGAGUCGGUGUGAGUGAACACCGAUGAACUCUCACCGCAUUCCUACAGUCGAUGUUGAUCGACAGAAGUCGCGUUCAAGUGACGUUUGUGGGUGAGAAGAGUCGUAACCUCAAGAGGUGUCGAGAGCUCAAUCGACACCAGAGAAACACAACAAAUUGUACAUAAUUGAUGAAAUCGUACCGACUGACUACCGGUAACCAAAUCCACCACCACUGCACACUCUUCAAGCUGUCCCGAUAGAAAAUGGUCAAAGUUGCUGCCGCAUCAGAAGCGAAGAUGGCCGCUUUCUUCGGAAAUCACUUGUGCUCACCAUUCGGAACCUGAAAAAUGUGGAAUCAUGGACCUAAACGCACUAGCAUUUUUUUUUGUAAUGAAAACAUCCGCUUUCUGAAGCUAAAGCACAGUCGAGAUACAAGAGCUGUACGGGGUGUAAAAUGGUUGGCGUGAAAUUAGAGUAACGAUACACUUGGACCAUCUCCAGCAGCGUGUGGGAGUUCCGAAAUGCAUCUAGAACUGCAUCUGGGGUAUUUUCAGCAGAGCAAUGAUAACAAAGGGUAUUUGUAACUGCUAUGAAGCAACUGGAACGCUGCUGGAGAUGUCCUUACUGGUGUAAUUGUGAAAAAAUAUUACACAAAUUUUGAGUUAUGAUCCAAAAUAAAGUUUUUCGCUAUAA